ensembl:snoRNA
GGUGCAAAUGAUGGUAAUUGCGAUCAAAGUAUGAAAAAGCUAUGAUUCCAUCUUAAAGUACUGAUGCACU